rnacentral:tRNA from 1 species
AGAGAUAAUAAAUAUCGAGCUUCUAACUCGAUUAAUAAUAGAAAAUUCCUAUUUUAUCUCUG